rnacentral:snRNA from 1 species
GGAUGUGAGUGCGAUCUGGCUGCGACAUCUGUCACCCCAUUGAUCGCCAGGGUUGAUUCGGCUGAUCUGGCUGGCUAGGCGGGUAUCCCCCUCCUCCCUCACCGAUCCAUGUGCGUCCCUCCCCAAGCUGCGCGCUCGGUGGAAGAGGACGACCUCCACCCCGCCCGCCCCCCAGGAGAGGACCGGUCUUCGGUCAAGGGUAUACGAGUAGCUGCGCUCCCCUGCUAGAACCUCCAAACAAGCUCUCAAAGUACACAUCCUAUAAAAUUUGGAUCAAACUCAUCUGACUCAACUUCCUUGAUCUCCCAGGCAAAAUUAGU